ACUUGAGCUUGGUGUUGUUGUUCCUUCUUGACUCAAGAUGAAAGCAAGACAUGAUGAAGUCUUCAAGAAGCUCUCCCAUACACAAUGUGGAAAGCCUAGCUUGUGUAUUCAUCUUCAUCUGUCCACCAUGUGAGCAUCCACAAGAUUCAAGCAUGUAGUACUCACGAAUGCUUAUCUUGAUCUUGUCCUUGUUAGCACAUGAGCUUGUCCUUAUCAACACAUGAUCAUAACAACAGCUUAAAAGGGGAUUAGUGAUUAGUUAUCUAUAUGUGUGUUGUCAGCAACACCAAAACACGAUUAAGGGCAUGACUGCACUUUCAACAGUACCGUAAAUUUGUCUCCGGGCUAUAUAUAUAGUAAUACAGACACUCAUAAGUCGGGGUCAUCUGAAAAUCCUAAUCCUAGGCUCCUAACCUCCUAGGGGAUAAAGUAACACACAUUAUCUAUUUGCAAGUACUAACAAUUUGAUGGGAUGUAACACACCGAUCAAUUAGAUUUAUAUCUAGAUUCCAUCAUUCCGAAGUAAUUAAGCACCUACAGUGUUUGGCAGGGUCGCAGGGAUAGAACAAGUAGGCUGCAAAAAACAGUAACUGAGGGCAGGAUAAAGCAGUUUGUGAGCCAGAGCGUGUUUGCAGGCCAAAUCAACCAAAAUUUCCCAAUAAGGGACGAAAUUAGUGGCGGUAGUAGACUUGUAGUGAUUUGGUUUACUGGAUGGAGUUUCUCUAAUGAUAUUCCAGUUUGGCAUUUUUAUGCUUGAACUUCUGGUCGAUGCUUCUUGUCCAUAGUUAACCCCCUGUACAGGCGCAAGUGUUGUAUCUGUGUGACUGUGUCUGUUGGUUGUUAUUUACCCAGAUUGGAGGUUGUUAACUCUAGCAUUGUGAAGAAGAAAAAGAUUGCAUAAGCUCGGGGUAGGUGGAAGAACGAAAAGAACUAAUACUAGCACAACCGUAUUUCUAGGUGAACUGACCUUCAAUUGCCCUAAACUGCCCAUGAAUGAUUUUUAUUAAUAAAUAACAACAAGGAACAAACUAUUAAUCAUCGGAUGGUAGAAUACUAGUAAAGGGAAACAUAUUUCCCCCUUGUACACAGUUAGGUUUUUAUCCUUAAAGGAAAUUGUGUUGUAAAGUAAGAAGGAUAUUUUAAUUUUAUCCUUUAAGAUAAUUCUUAACAAAUGCAGGCAGGAUUUUGACAGUUUAUUUAUAAGGAAAUAACAAUACAUGUCCUUCGAAAGGUGUACAUAAUUGCAGUCCCCUAGUUUGUAAACUUGCAAAGUAUUUGAAAAUCCUUGGUCAUUUAACCAACUGUGAAUGUGGACAUUCCACUAAAAAGACUAGUUGGCAGCAUCUUGUUAGAGAUUUACCUGCCUGACUGCAUUUCUGACCAAGAAUACAUGGAAGUUGUCUGUAAGCUCCUGAAUAGUUUAGGACAACCUCCAGUGCAAAAGCAGUGGUGUCCAUCUUUGUUGAACUUCCAUCAGAUUCCAGAUAAAGAAAUUGCUUAGUGCUGCUUCAGAGAGAAGUAGCACUAACAUGUUCCAACGAUCUUACGGGGAAGUAAUUAGAAGAAUUAGUCAUGUCUUGUGUUAAUUACACAUAUUGAUCACUACUGCAUGUCUGCAUCACACACUUAGAUGUUGUUGCCUAUUUGGACAGGCACACAUGUCCAUAAUGGUGUGUUGUCUAGUCUUCAGUUUGAAACUUGGGUUAAGACUGAAACAAAAGAGGGAAAGUAUAGCUGCUUAAGCAUCUAUUGUUUGGACAAAUAGGCAGCAACUUGUUAGAGAUUUACCUGUCCGGCUGCAUAUAUGACCAAGAAUAGAUGGCUGUGGUUGUUAAACUCCAGAAUAGUUUAGGAUAACCUCGAGUGCAGAUUCAGCAGUCCAAGGACUUCCCUCACAUUUCCCCGUAUUUAGCGUUUCUCUAGGCUUGUCUGCCUGUACAAAAGCAGAUGGGGUCACUUUAUUGAGCUUCCACUAGAUCUCAGACAAGGAAAUUGGUUAUCGAUGCUUCAGCUUCAUGGAGAAGCAGGAAUAACAUAUUCUUUUCUUGUGGGGAAGGAAUAACAUGUUCUAACGAUCUUGCAUGGAAAAACACUGCGUGAAUUGCAACAAUUAGCGGCGUAAAACAUCUACUGUGUUAGUUUACACGCAUCGAUCAUCACUGCAUCACGUACUUAGACGCGCAGCUGCAUAUUUGAGCCUUGUUUCCUUGGAUAAAGCAUCUCUCUUCUACACAACCCGAACACGGGGGAUUGAUUCGGAAAAUACUUUUAACUGAAAGGGGGUUUUCCUGUCUUCCGUAACUGGACCUCCUUCUUAAUUUUUAACCUUUCGAUUUCUAUGUUUUGAGGAUAGUAGACUGGCAGAGAUGGACUAGUUUAUCACUCCAGCAUACGUGCCACAUGUGGCAUGGCGUGCUGCCUGGUGUUCAGUUUAGAAACUUGGCAAAGACUUGAAAAGAAAAAGGGGGGAAACGUAUCUGCGUAGUCGCUUACGCAUCUCUGAUGUCUGGACAAUUCCAGGGGAGCUAGAAACUAAUGGCGCCGGGAUACUGCUAUGUCUGUGGUCAGUGGACGAUGGACGAGGCGGUCCGUUCCACGGGCCGUGGCAGACGGUCGGGCCACGGCGGCGCCAGAAACAGGCAAGAUCACGGAGCCAGCCAGCCAACAGAUCGACCAACAAACCGACGAGCGCAAAACCAACGGCGCUUCCGUGCGCGCGACAGAUCCGCCGCGAAGCGAGGGGCGGCGGACCGUGGCGGUAACCAGUAAGGACUAAGGUCAACCGAGCCGGACAAGAACCGCCGAGAUCGGUCGUUGCCACCAAC
rnacentral:lncRNA from 1 species